UUCAGAUAAUGGUUGAUGGAACGACUAUUCACAACUUCACAGAGAAAACGCCGGGCGCCAAGCCGGAUUCCUUCUCAAUGAAGGACGACAUACAACCACAUCAAGUAGAAGCUGUAGCCUGAAGGAACGAGGUGACGCGACGACAUACAACCACAUCAAGUAGAAGCUGUAGCCUGAAGGAACGAGGUGACGCGACGACAUACAACCACAUCAGGUAGAAGCUGUAGCCCGAAGGAACGAGGUGACGCGACGACAUACAAACACAUCAAGUAGAAGCUGUAGCCCGAAGGAACGAGGUGAUGCGACGACAUACAGCCACAUCAAGUAGAAGCUGUAGCCUGAAGGAACGAGGUGACGCGACGACAUACAACCACAUCAAGUAGAAGCUGUAGCCUGAAGGAACGAGGUGACGCGCACCUUGAUUCAAUGUUUUUGGUAACGGAGGACGACAUACAACCACAUCAAGUAGAAGCUGUAGCCUGAAGGAACGAGGUGACGCGACGACAUACAACCACAUCAAGUAGAAGCUGUAGCCUGAAGGAACGAGGUGACGCGCACCUUGAUUCAAUGUUUUUGGUAACGGAGGACGACAUACAACCACAUCAAGUAGAAGCUGUAGCCUGAAGGAACGAGGUGACGCGCACCUUGAUUCAAUGUUUUUGGUAACGGAGGACGACAUACAAACACAUCAAGUAGAAGCUGUAGCCUGAAGGAACGAGGUGACGCGCACCUUGAUUCAAUGUUUUUGGUAACGGAGGACGACAUACAACCACAUCAAGUAGAAGCUGUAGCCUGAAGGAACGAGGUGACGCGCACCUUGAUUCAAUGUUUUUGGUAACGGAGGACGACAUAAAAACACAUCAAGUAGAAGCUGUAGCCUGAAGGAACGAGGUGACGCGCACCUUGAUUCAAUGUUUUUGGUAACGGAGGACGACAUACAAACACAUCAAGUAGAAGCUGUAGCCUGAAGGAACGAGGUGACGCGCACCUUGAUUCAAUGUAUUUGGUAACGGAGGACGAUAUACAACCUCAUCAAGUAGAAGCUGUAGCCUGAAGGAACGAGGUGACGCGCACCUUGAUUCAAUGUUUUUGGUAACGGAGGACGACAUACAACCACAUCAAGUAGAAGCUGUAGCCUGAAGGAACGAGGUGACGCGCACCUUGAUUCAAUGUUUUUGGUAACGGAGGACGACAUACAAACACAUCAAGAAGAAGCUGUAGCCUGAAGGAACGAGGUGACGCGCACCUUGAUUCAAUGUUUUUGGUAACGGAGGACGACAUACAAACACAUCAAGUAGAAGCUGUAGCCUGAAGGAACGAGGUGACGCGCACCUUGAUUCAAUGUUUUUGGUAACGGAGGACGACAUACAACCACAUCAAGUAGAAGCUGUAGCCUGAAGGAACGAGGUGACGCGCACCUUGAUUCAAUGUUUUUGGUAACGGAGGACGACAUACAAACACAUCAAGUAGAAGCUGUAGCCUGAAGGAACGAGGUGACGCGCACCUUGAUUCAAUGUAUUUAGUUACGGAGGACGACAUACAAACACAUCAAGUAGAAGCUGUAGCCUGAAGGAACGAGGUGACGCGCACCUUGAUUCAAUGUUUUUGGUAACGGAGGACGACAUACAAACACAUCAAGUAGAAGCUGUAAGCCUGAAGGAACGAGGUGACGCGCACCUUGAUUCAAUGUAUUUGGUAACGGAGGACGACA